ACUUCCUUGUGCGGUGUUUCCGGGACAAUACGUCAUGGGUACCUUCAAAAAAAGCGCGUACACCUUCCUCAGGGGUGGGACAGUCGCCUUAUAGAGACGUUUUCAGGAAACUGUAGUGCCAUCUGAUAGUUGGCCCCAAUAUUAAAGCUUUGUCAGCUGUCACUCGCUUUGAAACCUGCCCACUGGUCAUAAAAUGGCGGCUACUCUCGUGUUUUCCAUUUUGCAUAUUUUUGGUAUUGAAAUCAAAGUGUUAGUGCGUCAAGUCGAGCCUUGUUUUCCUCCGCCUUGCUGUUGCGAAUUCAUCCAAAAAUCUCCUUAUUCUGUGUAUUUCUACUUUUUGUGAUAGAGACACUUUUGUUUGUGGAAUUUAUGAACUUUGGUGUAAUGCCGAGACGUUGUGCUUUCGGUUGUGCGCUCCGUGAGAUUCCAAUGCAUAGUUUCCCAGAUGCUGUCAAAUUCCUGAGAAGUUUAAAACUUGGGUCAGUCUUGUUGGUGGAAACCCUCAAACAUCUGAUCUUGAAUGUUAUAAGAAGAACAGAAUUUGUGAUAUACACUUUUCUGACAGACACAGAAAUCAUAAUCAAUGGCUAAGCACAUUGGCAGUUCCGAUGCUUCAUCUGCUUGGACAAGUUCAGAGUCAAGUAAUCUUAGGACAAGCUUCAUCCACACAACAUUUACUGCCUACAAUAAUACAGCAAGACUGUUCAGAGCCAUAUGUGAGCAACUUUAUUUUAGAAAAAGCAUCAACUUCAACAACAUUCCAAUCUGUGGCUGCAGAUGCAUCUCAAGGUGCUUGAUGCUGGAACAUAAUUAUAGUUUUAUUAGCAAGCCUAAAAGAACAGCUGGAAAAGAUCUAAUGGCUCCACAGCGCACAAAGAUCAAGCAUCUUCAAGCAGAAUAUCGCGCUUGCGAAAAAAAAGACUAUCUUUCAAAGCGAGAUUAAAAGGUGGUGCAGAUCGAUCAAUCGAAUUUUGUCAGGAAAAUUAACAUAUGUGGGUGAAGACGAAACAAAAACAGCUGCCCAACAAUAUUAUGAUAAACAUAAAUAUUAUAAAAAUAAAAAAUAAUAUGCAAA